rnacentral:sRNA from 1 species
CUAAAAGCCUUGGUGACUAAAAGCUUUUGUUUAUCCACAGACCAGACACAGCAGGCAGAAAGAGUGUGAGCUUCCCUAUGCUGUCUUCCAAUGUGCCUCAAGACUGAUCUAGAGGGGUGAGAGGAUAGUUCACUGUGGCCCACUGAAUCCUUGAUUUAA